AUCUACUGCCAUACCACCCUGAACAUGCCCAAUAUCAUCUGAUCUCAGAAGCUAAGCAAGGUCAGGCCUGGUUAGUACUUGAAUGAGAGACCACCUGGGAAUACCGGAUGCUGUAGGCU
ensembl:rRNA 5S_rRNA 5S ribosomal RNA